rnacentral:misc_RNA from 1 species
CGGGCACAAAGGAUUUGGUUUGGAGUUUAGAUACCAAAUUUGUCAGAGAUAAAACAUACAAAUCUACCUAUUUUAGGAGCGAAAGAAAGAAGGCCGUAAAUGGAGAAAGAAAAAAGAGAGUUAUGAAUAUUGUAAGAGAAAAAAAUCUCUUACUUAAAAUGCUAGAAUAUAUGCAAAAAAUAAUGAAGAAAUGAAAGUGUUGACGAAAACACUGUUCAAAAAAAAAAUUAUUUGUAGAAAAACGUCUUGAAGGGAGGGUGGGAAGCACCGUUUUUUCUACCUUUUUUUUCUUUCUUUCUGUUGGGGGGGGGGGGACCUACAACCCCACUCAUCAUGUCAACGAUUUGGCUCCUCAUCACAAGAGUCCCCCAAACCACUUUCCAUGGAUCCCACCAGCAUCAUUCGACACAGAAGAAGGAACUGUUUUGGCCAAAAGGGGCUCCGGAGAAAUCUUAUACCCUCUAAAAGGCAACUUGUGAUUUGACUAUACUGUAACCUAUUUCCCCAAGGCAUCUCAUGUAGCAAGCCUCUCAGCUUCUCAGCGGGAAAAUGGAAUGCAAGACCCUGUGACAUUUUGAAUUACCCUUUCAAAGAUCACAGCUUUGUGAUUCACAAGCAAGAUUUUGGAAAAUGCUGCUUUUGUAUGCAGGAGCACGAGGCCUAAAGUGUGGCAAAAAGAAAAGCAUUUUCUCAGCCCUGCAUGCAAUGAAUUUCUCUGAAAAGAAAAAGAUGAAGUACAUAUUACCAUUUGCACAAAAGUACUACAUUAAAGAAGAAAAUUAGCAAAGACUGCAUUGCUAUGAAAAUAAUAAUAACCCAAUCGAAUGAAGGAUUAUAAACUAAAAGCUAGGGAAAAAAAUGCUUGACUAAUUGGAUUAAUAGAAAUUAUGAGAACGGCACAUACAAAACACGGGUAAAUACCUUCAUGUGCCCUGAGUUCUAUCACUCCAUGGCAAACCCGCAGAUGCAGAAGAAAUACCCAUGUGAGUUUCAGAUGAACUUGGGAAUUUACCUUUCUUAGACCAUUGCCAUAUCUUGGAAACAGAAAAGCUUUCGCCUUUACUUCUAAUGUUAAUCUUCUUCCCCUCAACAUCUCCAUCAGUUGAUGAAUUCCCAUUUUGUCCAUUUCUUCCUUUCACAAGCUUUAUACGACCAGGACCAGCACCUGUGCCAGGGCACAAAGCCACUUGCAAAUCCAAAUCAGCAACCACAUAUUGGUAUGACCCCAUUGAAAAACAUCUUCUUGCAUCCAAAUUACUGCUACUGGUCUCUCCCUCUCCCCUCUCUACUGCUUCGCUGUUUGAGCUUUUAAACUUGCCUAAUCUCACAGAAAACACCCUUUUUGAAUUGAUUCUCUCAUUCUCUGCUGAUUUUUGGCCAAGCGAUAGCCCACUUCCUGCAGUGCUUGAAAACCCAUCUUCUUCCCUUGGUUCUUCAUAAUCAAAGUAUGGAUUUUCAAAGGGAAGCCCUGGUGUAUAGAGUGUCCUUCUGCAAAGGGGGCAAGUUGAAUUAGAUAAUAACCAUGUGUCUAUACAAUCAAUGUGGAAAGCAUGACUACAUGCGGGGAGCAAUCUCAACUUGUCUUCCUCUGAGAACUCAGAAAGGCAAACCGCACAAUCAAAUGGCUCUUUUAGACCCAUAAUCUCCUUGUAGAGAAACACAGGCAGUGCAUCAAUAAAAGCUUGAUCUAGGCCAGAAUCAUGAAGAUGGAAGAGUUGCUGUAACUGUCUUUGGAAAGCAUCAGACCCGGACAUUUCAGGGUGUCUAUCGGAUUCAGAUACUGAAGAAGAUCUAUGCUUUAUGAGAAAUCUAGCAAGCAAGUGGAGAAGACCACAAAUGAAAAAUAUAACAGCUAGAAUAACUAUGAUAAAAAGGAGAGCUGGGCUUAUUUUGUUGCCAGAAGAAGAUUGUUUCUGGUAAUCGCUAUUAUAUGGCAAUGAAGGAGAAUAUGAAGAAGAGGAGGAUGAAAGCAAAGAGUAAGGAUGGCGAGACAAGUGACCACCUUUGUGGAUGAUUUGAGAUUGAAUCCAAGACAUUUUAGUCAAUCACCAUUCCAAAACACCAUCAAUUAUCUCAAACUUUCUCGGAUUGAACGGUUCUGUCAGCCAUACACAAUCUCAAAAGAACCCAUAUUUUCCUUUACUUUUGAGAUCAAACCCAAUACUCAGAUACCAAGUACAUUAUUUCUUGCACACGCAAGAAACCCAGCUCAUUUUAAUCAAGAAUUUGAAGAGAAGCUUUGUCAUCAAAGUGGUUGCUUAAGUAGGAGAUUUCGCAGCUAAAAAGAAACCAAAUUUUUUCUCUUGCUUUCACAUGAAAUUGAAAACCAAGUCAUUGGCGUGCAAGUAAAAACGGAAAAAAAAAAUAAAAAAGGAAAAACCUAAAGGCCACUCAAUACUUGGGAUAUGUCAAAGAGUUGUUGUUUACCUACCUCAGUCCCUGCAAACAACUGCCAUUAAUGGAGCCCAUAAUGUUCAUUUCACUAUCCUCAGACAGCGGUUGUUGACUCGUUGCAGAAAGCAAAAAAUAACCUUAAUAAGAGCAAAGGCAGUCUCUUGAGGGUUGAGUUUCCUUUAUAUUGGAAGGAAAGGUCGUGGAGAGAGCCGAGUGAUUAGAGAGGGAGCGGAACUGUAACAGCGCUAGUGAACUCCAGCCAACAUAAUC